rnacentral:rRNA from 2 species
AGUCUAGCAUGUGCGCGAGUCAUUGGGACUCAAUAAACCUAAAGGCGCAAUGAAAGUGAAAGUCUGUUUACGCGGACUUAGGGAGGAUAGGUGCGUACACACUGUGUACAACCUCGCACUCCCGGGGCGUCUCGCACUCAUUGCGAGGUGGGGCGCACCAAGAGCGUACACGCUGGGACCCGAAAGAUGGUGAACUAUGCCUGGUCAGGACGAAGUCAGGGGAAACCCUGAUGGAGGUCCGUAGCGAUUCUGACGUGCAAAUCGAUCGUCGGAACUGGGCUUAGGGGCGAAAGACUAAUCGAACCAUCUAGUAGCUGGUUCCCACCGAAGUUUCCCUCAGGAUAGCUGGCACUAGAUUAUGGAUGAGUCUCAUCCGGUAAAGCGAAUGAUUAGAGGCAUUGGGGUCGAAACGGCCUCAACCUAUUCUCAAACUUUAAAUGGGUGAGAUCUCCGGCUUGCUCGAUUUAUGAAGCCGGAGAUCGGAUCAAUUAGUGCCAAGUGGGCCACUUUUGGUAAGCAGAACUGGCGCUGUGGGAUGAACCAAACGCAGAGUUAAAGCGCCAAAAUCGACGCUUAUGGGAUACCAUGAAAGGCGUUGGUAACUUAAGACAGCAGGACGGUGGCCAUGGAAGUC